UCGCAAUCUUCUUUGUCGAUUAGAACUCUCAAAAAAAAUUACGCUGUUAUCCCUAAGGUAACUUAGUCUUUUAAUCUAAAAUAUAGGAUCAAAUAAUCAUAAAUUUAUGGACUUAAUAAAAAAAAAGUUUAGCCAAUUUUUCCAUCACCCCAACCAAACAAAUAUAAAACAAUAAAAUUUAUAUACCAAUAAUUAAUUAUUUAUAUACAAGUAAAGCUCUAUAGGGUCUUCUUGUCUUCUAUAAUCAUUUAAGCUUUCUCACUUAAAAAUAAAGUUCUAAAAAAUUUUUCCUGAGACAGUAAGUUUUUCAUCAAUCCCUUCAUUCCAGCUUCUAAUUAAGAAACUAAUUAUUAUGCUACCUUUGCACGGUCAAUAUACCGCGGCCAUUUAAAACUCAUUGGGCAGGAACGACCUUAAAUUAAAAUCAAGAGGCC
rnacentral:rRNA from 1 species